UAGGGAAUCUUCGGCAAUGGACGGAAGUCUGACCGAGCAACGCCGCGUGAGUGAAGAAGGUUUUCGGAUCGUAAAGCUCUGUUGUAAGAGAAGAACGAGUGUGAGAGUGGAAAGUUCACACUGUGACGGUAUCUUACCAGAAAGGGACGGCUAACUACGUGCCAGCAGCCGCGGUAAUACGUAGGUCCCGAGCGUUGUCCGGAUUUAUUGGGCGUAAAGCGAGCGCAGGCGGUUAGAUAAGUCUGAAGUUAAAGGCUGUGGCUUAACCAUAGUACGCUUUGGAAACUGUUUAACUUGAGUGCAAGAGGGGAGAGUGGAAUUCCAUGUGUAGCGGUGAAAUGCGUAGAUAUAUGGAGGAACACCGGUGGCGAAAGCGGCUCUCUGGCUUGUAACUGACGCUGAGGCUCGAAAGCGUGGGGAGCAAACAGGAUUAGAUGCCCUGGUAGUCCACGCCGUAAACGAUGAGUGCUAGGUGUUAGACCCUUUCCGGGGUUUAGUGCCGUAGCUAACGCAUUAAGCACUCCGCCUGGGGAGUACGACCGCAAGGUUG
rnacentral:rRNA from 1 species